rnacentral:lncRNA from 1 species
UGUUCAUCUCUUACUUUGCCUAAUUUACAAAUUAAGCUUUAUUAUAGCUAUGUAUGCAUAGGAAAAAUGUUGUAUAUAUAGGGUUUGGUACUAUCCACUGUUUCAGGCAUCUUGGAAUGUACCCUCCAUGAAUAAGGGGGGACUAUUGUAUGCUCAGUAUUUGAAUUGCUGGAUCAAGUGCAAAUCUUUAAUUAAUACAGCCACAGCCGAGUUGAGAUUCUCCCCAGCAACUAGAAAAAUGGGUCUGCAUCACCUCUCAGGCACUGAGGAGACCAGCUGGCAAGAUCUUCAAAAGCUAAUGAUGGGGACCAGAGCAAAGUUAGGAGUGAGGUGCUGCAGUAUGUCCAGCCUUUUGAGGUCUGCUGUGGGCAGUGACUCAAGUCUCCCAGAUGGAAGGCAGGCUGCUGAGCUGGGUGUGCAGCAGCUUCUAUUCCAAGGCACCCAGAGGAUUAGGAAGGAGAUGCAGCUAGGAAGAGAGUCGCCUCUUUGAGGUCUCCCUCUCGCUGUUCAGUUUGGGAAAAUUGCUGCAGAGCCUUCGAGAUAAACAGAAACAGGAGGAGUCAACCAAGCUCUUUCCUACAGGAGUAUCUCAGGUGAGCUAGAGAAAUGCAGCCCUGGCUGAGGAUGCAUCAGAGAAAGGAGAGGA